CCUACGGGCGGCAGCAGUAGGGAAUCUUUCACAAUGGGCGAAAGCCUGAUGGAGCCACGCCGCGUGCAGGAUGAAGGCCUUCUGGUUGGAAACUCCUUUUAUAAGCGGGACAUAGGCUGGUAACUUAUGACUAAUGAUCGGCUCCCUACGUCCAAGCAUCCGCGGUCCUACGUAGGAUCCGAGCAUUAUCCGGAGUGACUGGGUGUAAAGAGUUGCGUAGGUGGCAUAAUAAGUAGCUAGUGAAAUCUGGUGGCUCAACCAUUCAGACUAUUAGCUAAACUGUUAAGCUCGAGACCGUUAGGGGUAACUGGAAUUUCUAGUGUAGGAGUGAAAUCCGUAGAUAUUAGAAAGAACACCAAUAGCGUAGGCAGGUUACUGGGACGGGUCUGACACUAAGGCACGAAAGCGUAGGGAGCAAACGGGAUUAGAUACCCCAGUAGUC
rnacentral:rRNA from 1 species